GUCCACAUUUAUGUAAGAGACAGCUAGAAAGUUUGUGUGAAAAAAGCUGCUCGCUAUCUAGUUUGACGGUCGCAGCCAUUCCUGUGUAUUUUGGAAUGACUCUACCAAAGUAACUUGUUUUCCUAGUGCAAGUCGACUACUGGUUUAAAAGAUUCAUGCACUGACCAUGGCUAGACGGAAGAGUCAGAUUAUUUUAGCGAGGACGCGUGGUGGUUGGUGGAAGGUAGAAAAGGCAAUAGGUCCCACCAAAGAGCUUUUCCCGUCAAAAAAGAAUAUCUGCAAAGGGAGUUCCUAUGACGCAGGGGCGCAAACAGGGGUUGCGCAGGGUGCGUGCGCACUCCCCACCUCCUAAACAAUAUGUUACCUAGGACUGCGCACCCGCCCCCCUCCCCCUGGGUACGCGACUGUGAAGGAUAUGAAAGUUGCAGCACAAACAUCAAUAGACUUAAUUAUCGAGCGUAUUUUUUUCAUUUCUUUUCUUCUGAGAAUACCCAAUGUAUAUUACAUCAAUAUAAUAACAAGAGGAUUAUAAAUGUACUAUGCACCCACGACGUUGGUGGUCAUAUGGCCUCAUCCGACCCGUCUUGAAACACGGACCAAGGAGUCUAACAUGUGUGCGAGUCUUUGAGUGAUCCAAACUCCGAGGCGAAAUGAAAGUGAAGGCGACUUCGGUCGCUGAGGUGAGAGCCUUUUACAAAAAAAGGCGCAUCAUUGACCGACCUAUUCUACUCUUAGAAAGGUUUGAGUAAGAGCGCAUCUGUUGGGACCCGAAAGAUGGUGAACUAUGCCUGAAUAGGGUGAAGCCAGAGGAAACUCUGGUGGAGGCUCGUAGCGAUUCUGACGUGCAAAUCGAUCGUCAAAUUUGGGUAUAGGGGCGAAAGACUAAUCGAACUGUCUAGUAGCUGGUUCCCUCCGAA
rnacentral:ncRNA from 1 species